GGUAAUGCACGACGACUCCCCUUCAUAUAAAGAGAAACAAAGGAGACCCUCAGAUAAAUUCUACUCCAAAAAAUAAGAGUACUCUCUCUUUCUCCAAUUCUCUUUCUUUCAUUAUUUUCAAGCUCCGACUAACUUAAAGUAUCGGAGGAUCCCCCGUUAGAGAAUCUCCGAUGAGUGUAGACUUUUUUAAUUUUGAGAUUUUUAAGGAGAGCUAGUCCUUGAAACAUCACCAAAUCC
rnacentral:lncRNA from 1 species